rnacentral:rRNA from 1 species
GAUGAACGCUGGCGGCGUGCUUAACACAUGCAAGUCGAACGAUGAACCGGGUGCUUGCACUCGGGGAUUAAUGGCGAACGGGUGAGUAACACGUGAGCAACCUGCCCCUGACUCUGGGAUAAGCGCUGGAAACGGCGUCUAAUACUGGAUAUGUCCCGUCACCGCAUGGUGUGCGGGUGGAAAGAUUUUUCGGUUGGGGAUGGGCUCGCGGCCUAUCAGCUUGUUGGUGAGGUAAUGGCUCACCAAGGCGUCGACGGGUAGCCGGCCUGCGAGGCUGACCGGCCACACUGGGACUGAGACACGGCCCAGACUCCUACGGGAGGCAGCAGUGGGGAAUAUUGCACAAUGGGCGGAAGCCUGAUGCAGCAACGCCGCGUGAGGGAUGACGGCCUUCGGGUUGUAAACCUCUUUUAGCAGGGAAGAAGCGAGAGUGACGGUACCUGCAGAAAAAGCACCGGCUAACUACGUGCCAGCAGCCGCCGUAA